GACAGAGGUGCCGAGCGUUAGGCGGAAUCACUGGGCUUAAAGCGUGUGUAGGCGGACUUCUAAGUACCUUGUGAAAUCCCUCGGCUCAACCGAGGACGUGCAUCCGAAACUGUGAGGCUUGAGUACUGAAGAGGAUCGCGGAAUUCCCGGUGUAGAAGUGAAAUUCGUAGAUAUCGGGAGGAACACCAGUGGCGAAGGCGGCGAUCUGGGCAGAUACUGACGCUGAGGUGCGAAAGCGUGGGGAGCAAACAGG
rnacentral:rRNA from 1 species